rnacentral:tmRNA from 1 species
GGGGCUGACCGGUUUUGACAGCAAGACCAAUGGAUUUGUAAGCAUGUCGAGUGAGGUAACGUACCACUCUGUCAAAAGAUCGUUACAUUUUUUAACUGGCGAAAAUAAUUACGCUCUUGCUGCUUAAUUAUCCGAAUUAUAGUAGGAUCAAGCAUUUUUCUAACAAGGUUAGAAGGUAAGAUGUCUCUCAAAAGCCUUUUCCGAUGGCGUUUGGUUUAGAGGCAUAGUAAGAUUGGAAUAGGAAAAUAGAUGCUUUGGCUGUUUUCUGAAAUUAAAGAAGCUAAGUUGUAAUUCGGGUGUUUGUUCUCAGGUUGCAAUCGAAAAUAAAUAACAAAAUAAGCAUGUAGAAAGCAUUUUUAUUGCUUGUUUGGACGAGGGUUCGAAUCCCUCCAGCUCCACCA